rnacentral:sRNA from 1 species
AUUUUGCGUGAGGGAUAAAAACGGCAUCCUUUUGUUUUUUCUUUAAAAAACAAAAGAUAUAGUGAAUAGCCCGACCCUUG